rnacentral:rRNA from 1 species
GGUUAAGUUAAUAAGGGCGCACGGUGGAUGCCUUGGCACUAGGAGCCGACGAAGGACGUGACAAACGACGAUAUGCCUUGGGUAGCUGUAAGUAAGCGAUGAUCCAGGGAUUUCCGAAUGGGGGAACCCAACAGGUAGUACCUGUUACCCACAUCUGUUAAGGAUGUGAGGAGGAAGACGCAGUGAACUGAAACAUCUAAGUAGCUGCAGGAAGAGAAAGCAAAAGCGAUUGCCUUAGUAGCGGCGAGCGAAACGGCAGGAGGGCAAACCGAAGAGUUUACUCUUCGGGGUUGUAGGACUGCAAUGUGGACUCAAAGAUUAUAGAAGAAUGAUUUGGGAAGAUCAGCCAAAGAGAGUAAUAGCCUCGUAUUUAAAAUAGUCUUUGUACCUAGCAGUAUCCUGAGUACGGCGGGACACGUGAAAUCCCGUCGGAAUCUGGGAGGACCAUCUCCCAACCCUAAAUACUCCCUAGUGACCGAUAGUGAACCAGUACCGUGAGGGAAAGGUGAAAAGCACCCCGGGAGGGGAGUGAAAUAGAACCUGAAACCGUGUGCCUACAACAAGUUCGAGCCCGUUAAUGGGUGAGAGCGUGCCUUUUGUAGAAUGAACCGGCGAGUUACGUUAUGAUGCGAGGUUAAGUUGAAGAGACGGAGCCGUAGGGAAACCGAGUCUGAAUAGGGCGCCUUAGUAUCAUGACGUAGACCCGAAACCAUGUGACCUACCCAUGAGCAGGUUGAAGGUGCGGUAAGACGCACUGGAGGACCGAACCAGGGCACGUUGAAAAGUGCUUGGAUGACUUGUGGGUAGCGGAGAAAUUCCAAACGAACUUGGAGAUAGCUGGUUCUCUCCGAAAUAGCUUUAGGGCUAGCGUCGACAUUAGAGAUUCUUGGAGGUAGAGCACUGUUUGGGUGAGGGGUCCAUCCCGGAUUACCAAUCUCAGAUAAACUCCGAAUGCCAAUGAAUUAUGGUCGGCAGUCAGACUGCGAGUGCUAAGAUCCGUAGUCGAAAGGGAAACAGCCCAGACCACCAGCUAAGGUCCCAAAAUAAUUGUUAAGUGGAAAAGGAUGUGGGGUUGCACAGACAACUAGGAUGUUAGCUUAGAAGCAGCUAUUCAUUCAAAGAGUGCGUAAUAGCUCACUAGUCGAGUGACCCUGCGCCGAAAAUGUACCGGGGCUAAAACAAUUUACCGAAGCUGUGGAUACCUUUAUAGGUAUGGUAGGAGAGCGUUCUAUGUGUGAUGAAGGUAUACCGUGAGGAGUGCUGGAACGCAUAGAAGUGAGAAUGCCGGUAUGAGUAGCGAAAGACAGGUGAGAAUCCUGUCCACCGUAAGACUAAGGUUUCCAGGGGAAGGCUCGUCCGCCCUGGGUUAGUCGGGACCUAAGGAGAGACCGAAAGGUGUAUCCGAUGGACAACAGGUUGAUAUUCCUGUACUAGAGUAUGUAGUGAUGGAGGGACGCAGUAGGCUAACUAAAGCAGACGAUUGGAAGAGUCUGUCUAAGCAGUGAGGUGUGAUAUGAGUCAAAUGCUUAUAUCUGUAACAUUGAGCUGUGAUGGGGAGCGAAGUUUAGUAGCGAAGUUAGUGACGUCACACUGCCAAGAAAAGCUUCUAGCGUUUAAACAUACUCUACCCGUACCGCAAACCGACACAGGUAGUCGAGGCGAGUAGCCUCAGGUGAGCGAGAGAACUCUCGUUAAGGAACUCGGCAAAAUGACCCCGUAACUUCGGGAGAAGGGGUGCUGACUUUAAGUCAGCCGCAGUGAAUAGGCCCAAGCAACUGUUUAUCAAAAACACAGCUCUCUGCUAAAUCGUAAGAUGAUGUAUAGGGGGUGACGCCUGCCCGGUGCUGGAAGGUUAAGAGGAGUGCUUAGCGUAAGCGAAGGUAUGAAUUGAAGCCCCAGUAAACGGCGGCCGUAACUAUAACGGUCCUAAGGUAGCGAAAUUCCUUGUCGGGUAAGUUCC